rnacentral:rRNA from 1 species
AACGAACGCUGGCGGCAGGCCUAACACAUGCAAGUCGAACGCUCCGCAAGGGGAGUGGCAGACGGGUGAGUAACACGUGGGAAUCUUCCUGUUGGUACGGAAUAGCUCAGGGAAACUUGGGGUAAUACCGUAUAAGCCCGAGAGGGGAAAGAUUUAUCGCCGACAGAUGAGCCCGCGUCUGAUUAGCUAGUUGGUGAGGUAAUGGCUCACCAAGGCGACGAUCAGUAGCUGGUCUGAGGGGAUGACCAGCCACACUGGGACUGAGACACGGCCCAGACUCCUACGGGAGGCAGCAGUGGGGAAUAUUGGACAAUGGGCGCAAGCCUGAUCCAGCCAUGCCGCGUGAGUGACGAAGGUCUUCGGAUUGUAGAGCUCUUUUACCAGGGACGAUAAUGACGGUACCUGGAGAAUAAGCCCCGGCUAACUUCGUGCCAGCCGCCGCCGUAAUAC